UACGAAGGGGGCUAGCGUUGCUCGGAAUGACUGGGCGUAAAGAGCUCGUAGGCGGUUUGUCGCGUCGAAUGUGAAAACCCGGGGCUCAACCCCGGGCCUGCAUUCGAUACGGGCAGACUAGAGUUCGGUAGGGGAGUCUGGAAUUCCUGGUGUAGCGGUGAAAUGCGCAGAUAUCAGGAGGAACACCGGUGGCGAAGGCGGGACUCUGGGCCGAUACUGACGCUGAGGAGCGAAAGCGUGGGGAGCAAACAGG
rnacentral:rRNA from 1 species